GCAAGUCGAACGGCAGCACGGACUUCGGUCUGGUGGCGAGUGGCGAACGGGUGAGUAAUGUAUCGGAACGUACCUUUCAGUGGGGGAUAACGUAGCGAAAGUUACGCUAAUACCGCAUAUUCUGUGAGCAGGAAAGCAGGGGAUCGCAAGACCUUGCGCUGAUUGAGCGGCCGAUAUCAGAUUAGCUAGUUGGUGGGGUAAAGGCCUACCAAGGCUACGAUCUGUAGCGGGUCUGAGAGGAUGAUCCGCCACACUGGGACUGAGACACGGCCCAGACUCCUACGGGAGGCAGCAGUGGGGAAUUUUGGACAAUGGGGGCAACCCUGAUCCAGCCAUGCCGCGUGAGUGAAGAAGGCCUUCGGGUUGUAAAGCUCUUUCGGCCGGGAAGAAAUCGCAUCAGCUAAUACCUGGUGUGGAUGACGGUACCGGAAUAAGAAGCACCGGCUAACUACGUGCCAGCAGCCGCGGUAAUACGUAGGGUGCGAGCGUUAAUCGGAAUUACUGGGCGUAAAGCGUGCGCAGGCGGUUGUGUAAGACAGGCGUGAAAUCCCCGGGCUCAACCUGGGAACUGCGCUUGUGACUGCACAGCUAGAGUACGGCAGAGGGGGGUGGAAUUCCACGUGUAGCAGUGAAAUGCGUAAAGAUGUGGA
rnacentral:rRNA from 1 species